rnacentral:rRNA from 1 species
GACGAACGCUGGCGGCGUGCUUAACACAUGCAAGUCGAACGGAAAGGCCCCUUCGGGGGUACUCGAGUGGCGAACGGGUGAGUAACACGUGGGUGAUCUGCCUUGCACUCUGGGAUAAGCCUGGGAAACUGGGUCUAAUACCGGAUAGGACCAACUUUUGCAUGAUUGUUGGUGGAAAGCUUUUGCGGUGUGAGAUGGGCCCGCGGCCUAUCAGCUUGUUGGUGGGGUAAUGGCCUACCAAGGCGACGACGGGUAGCCGACCUGAGAGGGUGUCCGGCCACACUGGGACUGAGAUACGGCCCAGACUCCUACGGGAGGCAGCAGUGGGGAAUAUUGCACAAUGGGCGCAAGCCUGACGCAGCGACGCCGCGUGGAGGAUGACGGUUUUCGGAUUGUAAACUCCUGUUAAGCGGGAAGAAAGCCUUGUUUCUAAUACAAGCAAGGUAUGACGGUACCGCUAGAGAAAGCACCGGCUAACUUCGUG